GAGAGUUCUACAUCUCAACUGGAGUUUUUUCUGCCAUUGUUGGCUUACGUCAUCAUUAGCUAUGGCAUUCUGGGAGAAACGCAGAGAGGCGGAGAAACGAAGUUGGAAAACAGAUUUAAACAAACGUUUGAGCCGUUGUCUUGGUUUGUCAGUACUGUGAGAACACUUAGUUACCGAAGAGGCCUGGAUGCUAGAACAAGCUUUGAAGCUAUUUUUUUUUAAUCGAACACGAGUGAGACUGGACGCUGAACACACCUGCAGCGCGAAGGUGUCACCACUUCGUCCACAACAUCGUCCACAACCGCAGAGACAUGGUCCAUGAUCGGAGAGACAUUGUUGAGGAUGAGGGAGACAUAGUCCACGAUCAGAUACAUUGUCCAUGAUCGCAGAGACCUUGUCAAAGAUGAGAGAGGCGUUGUCCAUGAUCAGAGAUAUUGUCCCAUGCUUCGUAGAGACCUUGCGAUAGAAUCGGCGGAGACGGGGGUCACCGAUUUGACGGCAUUGCCCGCGAUCAGGGACAUUGUCGAUGAUCACAGAGACACCGUCUAUGAUCUCAGAGACAUCGUCCACGAUCACAAAGACAUAGUCCAUGAUCACAGAGACUUUGUCCAUAAUCUCAGAGACACUGUCCGCGAUCACAGAGACGUAGUCCACGAUUGCAGAGAGUCUUCAUACAAUGAAGAACUUCUUUGGGACCAGGACAGAAGCCUCCAGGUCUCACCACUUCGUCCAUGACAUCGUCCACGAUCGCAGAGACGUGGUCCAUGAUCGGAGAGACAUUGUUGAGGAUGAGGGAGACAUAGUCCACGAUCAGAUACAUUGUCCAUGAUCGCAGAGACCUUGUCAAAGAUGAGAGAGGCGUUGUCCAUGAUCAGAGAUAUUGUCCCAUGCUUCGUAGAGACCUUGCGAUAGAAUCGGCGGAGACGGGGGUCACCGAUUUGACGGCAUUGCCCGCGAUCAUGGAGACAUUGUCGAUGAUCACAGAGACACCGUCUAUGAUCUCAGAGACAUCGUCCACGAUCAUAAAGACAUAGUCCAUGAUCACAGAGACUUUGUCCAUAAUCUCAGAGACACUGUCCGCGAUCACAGAGACGUAGUCCACGAUGGCAGAGUCUUCAUACAAUGAAGAACUUCUUUGAGACCAUGAAAUAAGCCUCCAGGUCUCAUCACUUCGUCCAUGACAUCGUCCACGAUCGCAGAGACGUGGUCCAUGAUCGGAGAGACAUUGUUGAGGAUGAGGGAGACAUAGUCCACGAUCAGAUACAUUGUCCAUGAUCGCAGAGACCUUGUCAAAGAUGAGAGAGGCGUUGUCCAUGAUCAGAGAUAUUGUCCCAUGCUUCGUAGAGACCUUGCGAUAGAAUCGGCGGAGACGGGGGUCACCGAUUUGACGGCAUUGCCCGCGAUCAUGGAGACACUGUCGAUGAUCACAGAGACACCGUCUAUGAUCUCAGAGACAUCGUCCACGAUCAUAAAGACAUAGUCCAUGAUCACAGAGACUUUGUCCAUAAUCUCAGAGACACUGUCCGCGAUCACAGAGACGUAGUCCACGAUGGCAGAGUCUUCAUACAAUGAAGAACUUCUUUGAGACCAUGAAAGAAGCCUCCAGGAGGAGAAGACGACAGCAGCUGAAGACCUGAAGUGGAUGAAAGAAAACAAAAAUGUUACAAAGCUGUAAUUAGAUUAAAAAAUAAAAAUAAAAAAAACUCCAUCUGUAAACAGUGCUGGUGUCCUGUUAUUUUAGUGAAAACACUUCUACCAUCUAUAAUGGAGUCAUGGGCACAUUUUCCAAAGACUUAUGUCUUUAUUAAACACCUGUGAGAGCAUUCAACUGCUUAUGAUACAAUUAUUUAAUUAAUAAUUGUAUCAAAAGCAGUUAAAUGAUCACAAAGAUGCUUAGUAGACAUGUUCCGCUUUGGAAAAUGUGCUCAUAACUACAUUAACCCUAACUAGCUCUGUUUCCUUGUGGUCAAAUGUCUGUCAUUAUAUUUUUCCGUGAUUUGUUAUAUGUUGUCUGGAAUAAAAUCAUUAAAAGUGUCUUC